GUGUCAGCCGCCGCGGUAAUACGGGGGGGGCAAGCGUUGUUCGGAAUUACUGGGCGUAAAGGGCUCGUAGGCGGCCAACUAAGUCGGACGUGAAAUCCCUCGGCUCAACCGGGGAACUGCGUCCGAUACUGGAUGGCUUGAAUUCGGGAGAGGGAUGCGGAAUUCCAGGUGUAGCGGUGAAAUGCGUAGAUAUCUGGAGGAACACCGGUGGCGAAGGCGGCAUCCUGGACCGAUAUUGACGCUGAGGAGCGAAAGCCAGGGGAGCAAACGGGAUUAGAAACCCGCGUAGUCC
rnacentral:rRNA from 1 species